rnacentral:rRNA from 1 species
UGCCAGCCGCCGCGGUAAUACAGAGGGUGCAAACGUUGUUCGGAAUUACUGGGCAUAAAGCGUACGUAGGCGGCGCGACCAGUGCAUGGUGAAAUCCCACGGCUCACCCGUGGAACUGCUGUGCAUACUGUCGUGCUCGAGGACGGUAGGGGAGUGCGGAACUCUUGGUGGAGCGGUGAAAUGCGUAGAUAUCUGGAGGAACAUCAGUGGCGAAGGCGGCUCCCUGGCCAAAGACUGACGCUCAUGUGCGAAAGUGUGGGUAGCGAACAGGAUUAGAUA